GUAGUAUAGUGGUCAGUAUGCAAGCUUGUCACGCUUGAGACCCGGGUUCAAUUCCCGGCG
rnacentral:tRNA from 1 species